CGGGACGGGUGAGUAACGCGUGGGUAACCUGCCUUGUACUGGGGGACAACAGUUGGAAACGACUGCUAAUACCGCAUAAGCGCACAGCUUCGCAUGAAGCAGUGUGAAAAACUCCGGUGGUACAAGAUGGACCCGCGUCUGAUUAGCUGGUUGGUGAGGUAACGGCCCACCAAGGCGACGAUCAGUAGCCGGCCUGAGAGGGUGAACGGCCACAUUGGGACUGAGACACGGCCCAA
rnacentral:rRNA from 1 species